UGCCCUAUUAGGAUUAUUGUUUAAUAAACUCAAUGGUAGUAAAUUCAUGGCAGUUAUUAUUUAUUAAAAAAUUAGGUUAAUUUUUUUGGUAUAAUAGUUAAUUUAGGUGUCACAAAUUUAUGACUUCUAUGUUUGUGAAAUUAUCAUCAAAUGUUUUUUUAAGCUACUAAUUUAUUUAUCAACACAUUUGUGGAGCUGCGUAUAUAUGAAAGCUCGAAAAAAAGGAAGUGGACGUCUGAAACUACUAAAACCUCGUCAAGAACGACAAAUUAAAGGGAUAUGCUUUAGUGAUCGUUUUCAACAUGCUGGAACAAUCAAUGCAACAUUUUACGAAACCACUGGGGUAAAAAUAACUGGAAGUUUUAUACAAAAUGUGCUGAAUAAUCUUGGAUUCUGAUCGCGACGUCCAGUCAAAAAACCACUUCUCAUUACACGAACAGCGACUAGAGUGAGCAAAAUUACACAAAACUUGGAAA